rnacentral:rRNA from 1 species
UACGAAGGGGGCUAGCGUUGUUCGGAAUCACUGGGCUUAAAGGGCGCGUAGGCGGGCGAGCGAGUCCGGGGUGAAAUCUUUCGGCUUAACCGGAAAAGGGCCUCGGAUACCGGUCGUCUGGAGGGAGGUAGGGGCAGUUGGAACUUCCGGUGGAGCGGUGAAAUGCGUUGAUAUCGGAAGGAACGCCGGUGGCGAAAGCGAGCUGCUGGACCUCAUCUGACGCUGAGGCGCGAAAGCCAGGGGAGCGAACGGG